UCAGCCGACACAUGCAUUGUCUGCCUUCCCCUUCUCGAUCUCUCUCACUCUACAAUUCACCACCAAAUAGUUCCAAAUUCCCCAUGACAAAUCUUCAGAUCUAACGCUCAACACACACAUCUACAAAGAAGAAACUCACCUUCACUUCAUCAUCUACACAAAUUACAUAACCACACCAACAACAACAACCUGCAACCUUUGUUCUCUCUCACCAGUGGUUAAUCGGCAAGCCGACAGCCCCCCCCCCCUGUUACACGCUGAAGAACGACGACGACCACCACCACCGUCUGGUGGUGGUGCGACAACAGAACCAAGAGAGGAGGGUGGCGGCGAGGACUGAGAGGCGGAGAGACACGACGGAGAAGGAGAAAGGAAAACGACAGGGGUGCCGUCGCAAGCGGCGGCGACAGCGGCGGUCUACGUCGGAUCGACGGCCAGAAGCGCCGAUGAUGGCGGUUGUGGUGAUUCAGGUCCUCGAUUCAACAUGUUUGACUCCGAUUUGUUUCUUUUGUUCGGGUUAACUUUGGGUUCGAAUCAGUUCGGUUCAACAAGGGAUUCGGGUCAGUUCAGGACUCUGACGGGUGUUGGCGACAGUGGUACCGGUAGCAGUGGUGGUGAUGUUUGGCUCGAGUAUUGGUACGUCUGACAUUCAGUUCAAGUUUCGGGUUGGGUUCGGUUCAAGUCUGGGUGUUCCGGUUCACUUGAAUCAGUCCCGAAUUUCGGUGCUCGGGUUAGUCACGUCUCGAUUUAGUUCAGUUUGGGUGUGUUUCGGGCCAGAUUUGGCUCAGAUCUUGGCUUGGUUCAACAGUUUCGGUUCAUCUCAGAUUUGGUUCAAGAUUCGGUCUACUCGGUCGUGUUCGAGUCAACGCAGCUGCGGUUCGGGUCAUACCCGGUUGACUCAGUCAAACCCGAGUCAACUCGGGUCAACAGCGGUCAAACAAGUCAACUGUCGGGCAAGUCAACGCUGGUCAACUGGUCAUAGUCAGUUAAGACCCGGAAUGUCACAGUUAUACGCUAGCUAAUUCACGUUCUUGGAACAACACUACGGAAAUCUCGCUAGGCUGGCUUUGCACAGGAAUGUCAAGGUGGAUUUUUUUUUAAAACUAUGGAAUGGUUGGUGUUGGGAUUGAACCCUACCAGAGGAACAGAUAAUGAAAGCCAAGACCGGAUCACAACAGUGGACUCAUAAUAAACAGCUGCUUACACUUGGUUUUCCCCUUGACAGUGGUAUUCUAACAGCUGAUGGAUCUUAAGUACUGCUCACUAUAACGACUGAUGAACCAAACACUGAUGAGAUUCUAAAGACUGCUGAAGACAAACACGGUUGCUCUAUCUACUGCUGUUUCAUAAGUACUGCUGAAGACACAAGUACUGCCCGUUCAAAGACUGAUCACCUUUGAAGAAAGCACUGAAGCUCAACAUCAGUGCUCAGGCUACAAUAGUGGAACAGUUGUUGUCUCUUGUUUUGUAUUGUACUUAUAAUCAGAUGUUACACAUCAGUAGUUUGUUUAGAACAGUGUUUAUAGGUUGUUAGUUUGUUAGAUGUCACUAUCAUGGUGACGUCAGCUGAGAUGCUUCAGUGGUUUGGUUUGCCUAUAAAUGGAGCAGUACCCUGUACUGUUACAUUUGAUUGACUGAGAGGAUUCUUCUUCUUUAGUCCAAUCCUUUCAUCUUGUGCAACCAACCUUGAAGUAUCAGGCUGAGGGGGAGUUUAGAUAUGUAAGCAUGCUUGUUAAUCUUUUGAUUUUCAUUGUAAUCAUUCAACUUAAUGAGAAAGCAUGUGUUUAUCAAAC